rnacentral:rRNA from 1 species
GAUGAACGCUAGCUACGUGCUUAACACAUGCAAGUCGAACGGCAAGGUCCUGCUAUCUUGGUAUGCUCGAGUGGCGAACGGGUAAGUAACACGAACGUAUCUUGAACUUGACUUUGGGUUUUCUUCAGGCAACUGGGGCUAAUACCGGUUAAGGGCUCCUGCUGCAUGGCGGGGGUUGACAUGUUUCGGGGGAUGUGGAUGGACUAGCGGCUUAUCUUCUUGUUGGUGGGGUAGUGGCUUACCAAGGAUUUGGCGGGUAGCCGGCCUGAGAGGGGGACCGGCCACAUUGGGACAGAGAUACGGCAGAGACUCCUACGGGAGACAGAAGUGUGGAAUAGAGCACAAUGGGCGGAAGUCGGAUGCAGCAACGCCGCGUGCUGGAUUACGGCCUUCUGUUAUUAAACCGCAUUCGCCUGUGACGAAGCGUGUGUGAAGGUAAUUUAUAAAUAAGCACCGGCUAACUACGUG